GAUGCAUCUGGCAUGCAAAAUAAAACCAGAGGUUUUGUUCUCAUACAACACUCGUGGAACCAAGAGCUGAGCGAGGUUUAUAUCAGGUAUUUUCUAUAAAUAUGGUCCACACUUGGAUGCUCUUUUCUUAUCCCUUUGAUAAGUUAAGAUGGAGAACUGUAAUUAUUAUAGUUUUGAAAUUAUUAUUGAGUACAGUAAUUAUUAUAGGCUAUAAGGGGUCAAGAUUCUGUUGUAAACACUGCAAUUGGAAAAAGAAUUUGUUUAUGGCAGUAUCACGAGAAGGAUCUUAGAUGCCUUUAAGGUAAACAAACAAAAACGAAUCUCUGAGGUUAGCUUGUGGCUUGGAGUCAUCGCUUUUCCGCAGGAUUGCCUCAGUGGUUUGGUAAAUUUAAUGUUCUUUCAUGUUAUUGGCUCAAUUGAAACAAUGAGAAAUGUGAAACUAGUACGAUGUUGAUGUUCUUGACAUAGUAAAUGCUACAUCUCUAAGUCCAAGCCAAGCGUAGGUGGCAAGUCUGCACAUGUAAUUACUAAUAGCUCUCUGCCGGAUCAGCAAGUAGUUACUUGGUACUUUCACAAGCCAGUGUCCAGUGCUGUGUUCAGUUUUACAGCUGUUUGUGUCUGAGUUUCAAUGCCUCACUACUGCUGUUUCCAGAAUUUUUGGAGAAGAAUUCUCUGUAGAAAUUAUUCUUUCAAAUGUGUAUACUCUCGCUACACACACGGUGUAAGCCUUGGAAUUAGGUGUCAUCAGGUCCUAGUGGUAAGUUAGUAACACAGUGUUUGAAAUACAGAAUAAGCAGAACUAAAGAUUCAUCAGUUUCUGAUUCUGAUAGAAAAGACACCAUCUGUGUUUGCCCUGCAAAACAUUGCAUGUAUCUGGAGCAAGCUUGCUCUUUGCAGAGGGGCUCCAGUAGAGAGAGAUCCAGAGCUGUCAAAUAAUAAAUGUUACUAAUUAACAGGUGGCCUCCAACAUUUGUAGUCCUUGCUGAUCAGAUGGUAUAUUGCCCACGUUGUGUCAUGGACCACUGUGUGCUAGAACAAGGAGGUAAAACCAACAGAUACAUAUAUUUAUUUUUUUUCCAGUGAUGGUAAUAGACUCACUAAAUAAAUAUUGAAAGAAACUAGACACCAAUACUUCUCUGCAUAGAGACCAAAAACUAAUGUUCUGUUGGUUCAGUUCAGCUAAUAAAUAAUUCUUGAUCAGCUUUGAAAAGUAAUUAUUUCACGUGUUUGUGAUGGAAGUUUCUCCAUAGAUCUAUAUCACAGUCACUGACCAGAAAUUUCCAUUGUUUGUGGAAGUUACUCAUUUCCAGGCUCAAGACAAGUAUCUCCUUCAGAAUAUGACAGAUGGUGUGGGGGGGGAAGGACUGAAGCAUUCUCCUCAGGACACCAGGGCUCUGGAGCAGCAGGGCGCUCCCCUUGGCAUGGCCGCGGAGCAGGGCAGUGCAGCUGGCAGCUGGGUGGGUGCUGCUGGCUUGAAAGGGCUGAACGCAGGAGCUGGCGGCUUCAGUGUUUUAUUAACUUGUCACGAACACUUAGGCUCCUGUAGAGUUGGGUAAAGAUGAGGCUUUCAGUGCAGAAAUCUCAGUUAGGAAUGAAUGAUUGUACCACCAGUUGGCUUUUCUUGGAAGAGAAAGAAAAUGGAUGGAGGGUCAUACUAAACAUGCCUGCAUCAUCAAGAAAAAAUAUCUCUUGAAACCAAAAUGAAAGUGCAUAUCCAGAAAGUGUUUUGAACCUAUCCACUAUUUGAUUUCUACUGCUUGUAGAAAUUUUGGUGAGGCUCAUCUUCAGGAUAUUUCUGUUGCUCUGUGUGUAUCUGGAUAUCUGAAUUAAGAAAAAGCUUCUUCUCCAUGUGGACAGCUGAGCAGUGGGCUCCAGUGUGCCCACAGAGGUUGUGCAGUCUUCAUCCGUGGAGGUUUUGAAGACUGGACUGGAUAAAGCCAUGAAAAAACAAGUCUGACCUCAGAGCUGACCCAGUGUUGGACUAUGGACAUCCAUGCUUCCUUUCCAAGCUGAAUUAUUCUGUGACUGUAAGGUCUUGGGUGAAGAUCAGGAGGAGAUAGAUAUCUUAUUUCUAUUUUUGUUGGCUCCAGUAUGCACAAGAAGAUAAUACUCUUCAGACCGAGGCAUUUGUUCUGGUAUAAUGUUUUUACUGGUUCAAAAUAAUUUCCCUUAUUCUCCUUGUCAUUUAGUGUUAUUUCUCUCUCAGUGAAUACUCUUAGUAGAAAGUCAUGCAAUUAACUGAGUCAUCCGCGUUAGUCACUCUGUUUUUAUUCUAUGAAAAGACUUCCGUACAUUUUCCGUGGCUUAUUUUGUUGUGACUCUCCAGAAAUGACACAGAUUCAUUGUGAGAGAAACAUGGAAAUGGCCAGUGAAUUUGUUUUUAUAAUGCAACGUUUUUCAAAGUAGUUUCUGAACUCAGAUACUAAUUUUUAAAGAAAUCCAUCUCAAUAGUAAGGAUUUCUGUCUUGCUUUCCCAGUACGUUUGGCUUUCAUUAUGAAACUAGAGCUCUAAUUUUUUAAUCUAAACCUAGUAGGAUGAUAACUUCAUUUUUUUGACAUAUACUUUCCAAAAUAAAUUUCAUUGCUUC